rnacentral:miRNA from 1 species
AUAUAUAUAUAUAUGUGUGUGUGUGUGUGUGUGUGUGUAUGUACACACACAUACACACACACACUAUAUAUAUGUGUUAUAUAUAC